rnacentral:tRNA from 1 species
GGGGAGGUGGCUUGGUUGGUAGAGAGCUUGCCUUGCAAGCACGAGGACUGAGUUGGAUCCCCAGGGCCCACA